AGCGGAUUCACUAUCUGCACUACCUCUUUUUAAGAAAACAGGUUUUUGGCACUGUGGUGAGGAUGCAAAGAGAAAGUGGCUGCCUGCAAACCAGGAGGAGAGCCCUCACCAGGAACCAAUCUAGCUGACACCUUGAACUUGGACUUCACACCUCCAGUAUUGUGAAAAAUAAAUAUGUUUUCAAAGUC
rnacentral:lncRNA from 1 species